AGUGAACGCUGGCGGUAGGCCUAACACAUGCAAGUCGAACGGCAGCACAGUAAGAGCUUGCUCUUACGGGUGGCGAGUGGCGGACGGGUGAGGAAUACAUCGGAAUCUACUUUUUCGUGGGGGAUAACGUAGGGAAACUUACGCUAAUACCGCAUACGACCUACGGGUGAAAGCAGGGGAUCUUCGGACCUUGCGCGAUUGAAUGAGACGAUGUCGGCUUAGCUAGUUGGCGGGGUAAAGGCCCACCAAGGCGACGAUCCGUAGCUGGUCUGAGAGGAUGAUCAGCCACACUGUAACUUAGACACGGUCCAGGCUCCUACGGGAGGCCGCAGUGGGGAGUAUUGGACAAAGGGCGCAAGCCUGAUCCAGCCAUACCCCGUGGGUGAAGAAGGCCUUCUGGUUGUAAAGCCCUUUUGUUGGGAAAGAAAAGCAGCGGGUUAAUACCCCGCUGUUCUGACGGUACCCAAAGAAUAAGCGCCGGCUAACUUCGUG
rnacentral:rRNA from 1 species